rnacentral:tRNA from 1 species
GCCCGGUUAGCUCAAUCGGUAGAGCGUGAGACUCUUAUACAAGAGCGCACGAUCUCAAGGUUGCGGGUUCGACCCCCGCAUCGGGCU